AAGGUUUGGGUGAGGGAGGAGCAGCAGGGGAACAUGGCUGUACAGCUGAUGCCUGAAUCCGCCAUCUGCCUCCUUAUGGAGUGUGAUGCGAUGGAUUUGGGAGCGGAAAAGUACACAAGCGGAUGUAUGGGCUUCUGCUGCCCCUCCUCUCCACCCGAGAAGCCGAUCCAUGUCCUAUCACCAUUCCUGUGAGAGUGUGCAUGAAGGGGAGAGAGAAGGAGGGGAGCCAGUGCUUGUGUGUGUGUUUGUGUGUGUGUGUGUGUGUUUGUGUGCAUACGCGCAUGUGUGCAUGUCCCAGCACCCAUUCUGAGGGGAGGAGGGAGCUUUAACUGGCCGUUGGAUGUCACAGAAGCAGGAGUGUGUGAGAGAGCGCAGACAGAACAGCCGGGGGUCCUGACGGAAGAGGGAAAGACUGUGCGGAACGACAAGACAAGGGGCUGGCACGUGGACCUUUCAGCCAGCGCUUGCAAGGCAUUGGACAAUAGGAGCAGGCUGCACUACAACUCUCUGCCUGGAGCCCAGAAGCUGGUGUUGCUUGAGUCUUGACUUUGCGUUUUCUGAACGUUACGGCGGAGAGCCACUGUGCUGGGGGUCUCGUGGGCAUUGCCAGUGUGCUGGAGGUGCUGGGUGUUACCUGUGCAGUGCGUCUAAGGUUUGGGUGAGGGAGGGAGCAGCAGGGGAGCAUGGCUAUACAGCUGAUGCCUGAAUCCGCCAUCUGCCUCCUUAUGCACUUUGACCACGUGUACCUCUGCAGUAGGACAGCAGAACUAAUGCAGCAUAGAGAUCGUCUCUAUACUUAACAUUAUAAUAAUAAUCUGCAAUGCUUGAGAAAUGCAGACUGUGGAAUGUGGAUUUUAAAUUGCAGGUCACCUUACCAAAUUGUGGACUAUUAAAUAAAGUUUGUUUUAUUAUGCAGA